GCGGCGUGCUUAACACAUGCAAGUCGCACGAGAACACCUCAGCUUGCUGGGGUAAGUAAAGUGGCGCACGGGUGAGUAACGCGUGGGUAAUCUGCCCCUGAAUCUGGGAUAACGCUGCGAAAGCGGUGCUAAUACCGGAUGACAUCGAAUUGACUUCGGUUGAUUGGAUCAAAGGUAGCCACUCCAUGGAAGCUACUGUUUGGGGAUGAGCCCGCGUACCAUUAGCUUGUUGGUAGGGUAACGGCCUACCAAGGCGACGAUGGUUAGCUGGUCUGAGAGGAUGAUCAGCCACACUGGAACUGGAACACGGUCCAGACUCCUACGGGAGGCAGCAGUGAGGAAUUUUGCGCAAUGAGGGAAACCUUGACGCAGCAACGCCGCGUGAGUGAUGAAGGCUUUCGGGUCGUAAAGCUCUGUCAAGUGGGAAGAAAUCCCGGGAAGUGAACAGUUUUUCGGGUUGACGGUACCACUGAAGGAAGCACCGGCUAACUCCGUGCCAGCAGCCGCGGUAAUACGGAGGGUGCGAGCGUUAUUCGGAAUUACUGGGCGUAAAGGGCGCGCAGGCGGUCAUGUAAGUCAGAUGUGAAAGCCCGGGGCUUAACCCUGGAAGUGCAUUUGAAACUGUGUGACUUGAGUAUGGGAGAGGGAAGCGGAAUUCCUGGUGUAGCGGUGAAAUGCGUAGAUAUCAGGAGGAACACCCGUGGCGAAGGCGGCUUCCUGGACCAAUACUGACGCUGAGGCGCGAAGGCGUGGGGAGCAAACAGGAUUAGAUACCCUGGUAGUCCACGCACGUAAACGGCGAUCACUAGGCGUAGCGGCUAGUGACCCCCUGCUGUGCCCGCAGCUGACGCAGCCAAGUGAUGCGCCUGGGGAGUACGCCCGCAAGAGUAUAACUCAAAGGAAUUGACGGGGGCCCGCACAAACGCUGGAGCACAUGGUGUAAUUCGACGCAACGCGAAGAGCCCUACCCGGAUUUGACACCCCGGGAAUCUCUAUGAAAAUAGAGAGUGCCCCUCGGGGAGCCCGGAGACAGGUGCUGCAUGACUGUCGUCAGCUCGUGUCGUGAGAUGAUGGGUUAAGUCCCGCAA
rnacentral:rRNA from 1 species